AGCGAACGUUAGCGGCGCGCCUAACACAUGCAAGUCGCACGAGAAAGGGCUUCGGCCCCGGUAAAGUGGCGCACGGGUGAGUAACACGUGGGCAACCUGCCCAACCCUGGGGGAUAACCUGCCGAAAGGCGGGCUAAUACCGCGUACGAGGGCCUGACUUCGGUCGGGUUCUGAAAGCAGGCCUCUGAAUUCAAGCUUGUGGGGUUGGAUGGGCCCGCGGUCCAUCAGCUAGUUGGUGAGGUAAUGGCUCACCAAGGCUACGACGGAUAGCUGGUCUGAGAGGAUGAUCAGCCACACUGGAACUGAGACACGGUCCAGACUCCUACGGGAGGCAGCAGUGGGGAAUCUUGCGCAAUGGACGAAAGUCUGACGCAGCGACGCCGCGUGGGUGACGAAGGCCUUCGGGUAGUAAAGCCCUGUGGGGCGAGACGAACAGCUUCUGGUCGAAUAGGCCAGGGGUUUGACGGUAUCGCCUUAGCAAGCACCGGCUAACUCUGUGCCAGCAGCCGCGGUAAGAC
rnacentral:rRNA from 1 species